GGUAAUUAACAUGUUCUCUUUUCUACAUUAGUUUCAAUGCAAGCUGUUUGUUGCAAACUUAUAAAAUCUGAAAACUAUUUCAAUUAAAUGCAUAGCUGAAAAGUACACAAGAAUCUACAGGUCGAGCAAGUCUCGUAAAUUUCACGAUUGUGCGAGCCACGCUUCACGCAACCGUGUUUGCGUACUUGUGUUUCGAGUUGCGUGGUCGUGCGGAGUUAUAUUUACCAAAUUUAAAUCCCUUCCAACAUGCUGUCAAAAUUAAAUCAAUAUGUCAAUAUGGCUACUGGGUGUAAAAGAUAAAUCUUAUUCUAUCUGUUCUUAAUGAGUUUUAGAUAAUUUUAGUUGUAUUUCUUUGUAAUUUUGUGUUGUACAAAGAUUAAUUUAACAUUUUCUCUGGAAGUAUUAAUUUAGAAAGAUAAUAUGCUUCAUUGGUGUUGUGUUUUGAAGUGUGAAAUGCAAAGUAAUUGUGAUAAAAAGAUAAAGUUCACUUUUAAACUGAACUAAAUAAGGUAUCUGAGAGACAACAAUGGUUAAAUGCAAUACAAUGUACAGGUUUUACUAGCGAAAUGAAAAUUUUCCUGUCCUGUCUGCUGUAAUCAUUUUAUAUCUGGAAAACCAGCCGACUUAAUCGAUAAUAACAAUCUCCAGAUUGGGUUCCUUCAAUAAAUAUGGGCUAUUAACACAAUGAAAUAAAUUCCAGAAAAUCUAAAAUGGAGUGGCAUCAAAGGAGAAUUAAAGGAAAAAAUAUUCAUAUUGAAAUUAUUUAUAAGGCACUGGACUGUCUUAAAUUCUACAAUAAUACUAGAAUCAGCUGAGAGAAGUGGUCUACAAAAAACCAGGAAGGAAACGGAAUAUGUGGCUACGAAAGGCAAAAGAAAGGUUUACAAAGCAAAUGUGACACAUUUUUUUGAAAUAUUUAGGAAUAUCAGUAAAUUGCAUUAAAAGAAUGUAUGAAAAGAUUUUGUUCAAUAAAAAUGUUUAUAUUUA